GUGGCGGCUUUGUUUGGGUCUCCCUGCUACUAUUGACGGGUGAAAAGUGAAACGAGAGACAAUUUGAUCAGUCCGGUUCACCCGAGGGUCCAGCAGAAACAAAAUGGUGGUCAUCUGUUGCAUCUACCAUCAGCAGGAGACUGGCGAGGAUCUGGAGGCAGGCUGCCACAAGAAAGAGAAAGCAACCUGAUGGGGAGGGUUGUGUUUUGACAGUCUUUGGUAGUUUUUGGAUUUUAUGUUUUUAUAAACAUUGUUAGGAGUGUGGCAUUGAUGGACACGGUUAAGCGCAGUAAUUUUAGCAGACAUAGCCAACCCUGAAAUAGUGCUUAGGGAUCAGUUUGCAGAGCAUGUACGAGAUGCUGUGCUGCGAGUUAAAAUGUCUUGCUCGCCAGAACCCUGCACUCUCUCUCCUCGACCUACAGAAGGAAGCAAUUCGGUGGGUGGAGGAGGGAGAGCAGAGUGUAAAGUUGUCCACUCAACCCCUUACUCCUGUGAAACUCAAGUAGAGGUAGAGGGAAACUGUUCUGCUGUAGUGAUUAAACAGAACUUCUGAGUUUUGAGAAUUAUUAAAGCGACAUCAGGAGCAGUUAGAUCCCUUGUUGAGUACUAGAGGAAAUUCAUGGGCUUGGAGAGGGACACAACCUAGGAGUAACCGGUACCAGUUUAGUGCUGAUGGUCAGUCUUUUUUUCUCAUUGUGACCAAAUUGGCCAUAUUGCACGGCGCUGUGGGACAGGACAGACUGCCAGGGCAAAUCAGGUACACAGGGGAGCUAGUGUAGGAGUAGAGGCCAGGGUAUAGGAACAACAGACAGAAAACUAGAGUCCUCUGGUGUGCAGAGUCACACAACAGAUGGGGUUAGGCUGGGCUCUGAUAGGGCAGCACUAGUGUCCCCUUAGCCACUUGCAUACAGCCAAGCUUGGGACAGUAGAGCAGCGUUGGGCAGCUCAGCUUGCUUCAUUCAAUUUUCCGAUUACGUAUAAGCCAGGUCGAGUUAAUGGCAAUGCUGAUGUGCUGUCCAGACAGUAUAUCCAGGCACAGGGAGAUGGUGAGAGCAUCACUCAUAGAUCAAGGGUGCUUGAUGACCUGCUACGGCCAACAUUGGAACAUCAAGUACAGUGUUUGGGGCAGAGGGAGGCAAGUCAAUGUGCUGUUGCUUUACCUACCCGGCCUAAGGCAGACCUAAGUACUUUGUAGGAUUGGAUCCAGUGAUUGCAUCUCUGUUGCCAUUCUGGAGGAGGGAGCAGAGACCAGAUCACAAGGAGCGUGCACACUUCUUGAAAGGCCUUGGAGUUCCUGUGACAAUGGGAUGGCCUCACCAUGGAUGAUGGCGUAUUGUAUCGUAGAACCAAGGUGGAUGGUGGUAAGGAAAUUGAACAGCUAGUAUUGCCUAAAACCCUACAGGCUUGGGUCCUUACAAGUCAGCAUGAUGAGCACAGUCAUCGGGGAACAGAGGGAACACUGCAGUUAGUGCGAAGAUGCUGCUAUUGGUCGGGUAUAGGAAAGAGGGGAGCAAUGGUGUAAGGAGUGUGAGCGCUGUAUUUUAUCUAAAGCAGUCCAGCCAAAGGUACAAACUUUUAUGGGGAACUUGUUAGCUUCACAGCCAUUGGAGAUUUUGGCAAUUGAUUUGACUGUGUUGGAACCUUCUCUGGAUGGGAAAGAACAUUCUUGUACUAACUGAUGACUUUUCUAAGUACAUGCAGGCCAUUCCAACCAAGGACCAGAGAGCCAACACAGUUGCACAGGUACUGGUGAAGGAGUGGUUCUACCGGUUCGAGCUGCCACUGCGGAUCUAUUCAGACCAGGGGAGGAAUUUUGAGCGCACUAAUUCAGCAGCUUUGCCAGUUGUUUGGGGUCCAGAAGAGCCGUACAACUCCUUACCACCCACAAUGAAAUGGACAGUGCAAACAGUUCAAUCGAACUCUGCAUGACUUGUUGCGCACCAUCCCUCCGGAGAAGAAGCGCCACUGGUCAGAUUUUCUCCCCCAGGUGCUAUUUGUGUAUAAACACCACAGACAACAGGCUGGUCCCCAUACUACAUGAUGUUUGGAAGAGAACCACAACUUCCUAUAGACUUCAUGCUGGGAGCAGACAAGGACGAGCCAAUUGGAGGAGAUGUCAAGGAUUGGGUCAGAGAGCACCAAGAAAGACUAUGGACCAUCUAUAAAGGAACUAAACGGCGCUUGGAGGAUGCUGCGGCACAGCGAGGGAGAGUUAUGCACAACCAGAAUGUGAGGGAUUCUACCUUGCAGGUAGGGCAAUUGGUCUAUUUGAAAGAUCAGUGUGUGUGGCAGGAAUAAGAUCCAGCCAAUUUGCGCACCUGUAUAUUAACAGCUGCAGUGUCACUUGGUAAAUCAAGACAGUUGUGCUGUGGCUGCUUUGUUUGGGUCUCCCACUACUAUUGAUAUUCAAGAUUUAAAACAAGAGAAUCGCUCUCUCUCCCUUUUGUUUGUGUGCCGAUCUCUCUGUUUCUAAAUGCUUUUAUUUUGUUUUAUUGGUAUUGUAGGGUGAAUAGUAACAUGAGAGACGAUUUGAUCAGUCCGGUUCACCUGAGAUAACGUGUGUUUUGUUUAAUUACUUUAGACAGUUUUUACUUGGUUUUAAUAAAUAAUAAAAUUAACGUAGUUAGUGUUUUGUUUGAAGUGAACUGUGCGUGACCACAAAAAGAACAUAUGUGUUUUUCUUUUUAUAGGAGACAUGUUGGCCACUUCUGUUUCUGUUGAGUUUUGCUUCUGUUGAUUUGUGUCUGGUUUUCAUUAUUGUCAAUAUUGUUUGCUGGUUGUCUUGUGUGUGUUUCCCCCCUGUUCUGUUCUGGUUAUUAGAACCAAAUAUACGUGGCAUUUUAUAUAGAUUUAAAAGAUCAUUGUAAGCUAACAAAUCUGAGUGCAAUCCUUUGGGUUAAAGAGAAUUGUAAUGAUGAGUAUAUAGUGUUUGUGGACAUUUGUGGAGUUUUGUUUUCAGCCUCUCACAGAUCACACUGCCCCCUGGUGUGUGUGUGAUGUUGAAGUUAUUUAUAAAUUGGUUUUGAGAACAUUUAAGAUUUGUUGGCACUUGGUUUAUUAUUACUGUUUGGUUGUAUUUGUGUUUAUUUGUAUUGGGACACUUAUUUUGUAUUUCCUUCUUUUAAGCACUUUCUUCUCCAGGUGCCGAUGGCAUACGGGAGAGGCUGUCCUGACUUCAU